rnacentral:lncRNA from 1 species
AUGGAAUGUGAGUGCUGCCAAAUUUAUCAGGUUACCCCUACCCCUCAUGUCAUUUCCACACUAGAAGGGAGGGCUUCAUUCAGAGGGAGCUGCCUUUUUACUUGCAUACUUAUAAGAGUCAUCCUGAUAAUGUCAUCUUUAGGUCAUUGUCUUUACAUAGCUUUGGGAAUGCAAACUGGUCAAGCCACUAUGGAAAUCAGUCUGGAGAUUCCUCAGAAACCUGAAUAUAACCCUACCAUUCGACCCAGCCAUCCCACUCCUUGGAAUUUACCCAAAGGAGUUUAAAUUGAUAAACAAAAAAGCGGUCUGCACCCUAAUGUUUAUUGCAGCACAAUUCACAAUAGCCAAGACCUGGAACCAACCUAAAUGCCCAUCAACGGUAGACUGGAUAAAGAAAUUAUGGGAUAUGUAUUCUUUAGAGUACUAUACCGCAGUAAGAAACAACGAAAUCCAGUCAUUUGCAACAAAAUGGAGGAAUCUGGAACACAUCAUGCUGAGUGAAGUAAGCCAGUCCCAAAGGGACAAAUACCAUAUGUUCUCCCUGAUCGGUGACAACUGACUCAACACCAAAAAGGAAACCUCCUGAAGUGAAAUGGACACUAUGAGAAAUGGUGACUUGAUCAGCAUAGCUCUGACUGCUAAUGGACAACUUAAUACAUUAUCCCUCAUAGUAUUUUUUUUUGUCUGUUCUACUUAAUAUGACUGGUUUAAUUCUGUAAUUAUCACACAGUUAUUCUUAAGUGUUGAAAAUUAACCGAAAUGUGAUCCCUGUUAAACAUAAGAGUGGGAAUAAGAGAGGGAAGAGAUGUAUAAUUUGGGACAUGCUCGGGCUGACUUGCCCCAAUUGGUAGAGUUGGAAACAUACCAGGGGAUUCCAAUUCAAUCCCAUCAAGGUGGCAUGUGCCAAUGCCAUCUCACUACUCCAAGUGAUCAAUUUCAGUUCACAAUUGAUCAUAAUGAAAGGACUAAGAGUCAAAGGGAGCACAUAAACAAGUCUAGUAUCUGCUAACACCAACUGAUAGAAUAAAUAAAGGGGAGAGUGAUCCA